rnacentral:rRNA from 1 species
GAUGAACGCUAGCGGCAGGCUUAACACAUGCAAGUCGAGGGGCAGCGUGGAGCAGCAAUGCUCUGACGGCGACCGGCGGAAGGGUGCGUAACACGUGAGCGACUUGCCCGUCACAGGGGGAUAACCGGCGGAAACGGCGACUAAUACCCCAUACGAUGUGAUGCUGCAUGGCAUUGCAUUGAAAGAUUCAUCGGUGGCGGAUAGGCUCGCGGGACAUUAGCUAGACGGCGGGGCAACGGCCCACCGUGGCGACGAUGUCUAGGGGUUCUGAGAGGAAGGCCCCCCACACUGGGACUGAGACACGGCCCAGACUCCUACGGGAGGCAGCAGUGAGGAAUAUUGGUCAAUGGGCGGAAGCCUGAACCGGCCAUGCCGCGUGAAGGACUAAGGCCCCUACGGGUCGUAAACUUCUUUAGACGCAGAGCAAUAAGGUCCACGCGUGGACCGAUGAGAGUAUGCGUAGAAUAAGC